AUAACAAUCCUGGCAUCAGAUGCAGCCUUUAAUUUCUCUCAGGAACUUGGAAAUUUAGUUAAAUAUUCCAUUCCUGGAAACCCACCACCUAUCUCUUCACCCAUUUGAUGAAAUUAUUGAUGCCAAUUCCAUGCCACAACUCAGCAGGAAACGACAUCUAUAAGUAUGGACUCGUGCAUGGUGCUCUGCAACUCCAACCCAGCAACCUAAACCUCCGUUUUAGCGUACAAAACAGCUAAUAAUGGCAUCAAUCAAGGCUGAGAAACCUGCAGCUCAAACCACCGCUCCGGUGAAGAAAGAGCCUGCCAAAUCUGGCAGUUCUGCACCCAAAGCUCCGGCCUCCCAGCCGGCCCCUAAGAAGGUCCAACAGAAGCCCCGGCCGGAGCCUAAGAAAAAGACAACAGGAAGCAAGCCAGCAACAAAGUAAGAAGAAGAAUGAGAAGAAUCCAUGAAUUAAUUAAGGAUAUCCAUAUUAAUGUGCAACUCUGUUUGCUUCCUGCCUUGUACACGUCUCUCUUUUUAGGCUUCGCCUAAUAAUUAAAUAAAAUAAAUGUUUUAUUAAGAGAA